UACAUGCAAGUCGAGCGGACUGAUGGGAGCUUGCUCCCUGAGGUUAGCGGCGGACGGGUGAGUAACACGUGGGCAACCUACCUGUAAGACUGGGAUAACUCCGGGAAACCGGGGCUAAUACCGGAUAACCCGUUCCACCUCAUGGUGGAGCGGUAAAAGAUGGCCUCUGGCUAUCACUUACAGAUGGGCCCGCGGCGCAUUAGCUAGUUGGUAAGGUAACGGCUUACCAAGGCGACGAUGCGUAGCCGACCUGAGAGGGUGAUCGGCCACACUGGGACUGAGACACGGCCCAGACUCCUACGGGAGGCAGCAGUAGGGAAUCUUCCGCAAUGGACGAAAGUCUGACGGAGCAACGCCGCGUGAGUGAUGAAGGUUUUCGGAUCGUAAAGCUCUGUUGUUAGGGAAGAACAAGUGCCGUUUGAAUAAGGCGGCACCUUGACGGUACCUAACCAGAAAGCCACGGCUAACUACGUGCCAGCAGCCGCGGUAAUACGUAGGUGGCAAGCGUUGUCCGGAAUUAUUGGGCGUAAAGCGCGCGCAGGCGGUCUCUUAAGUCUGAUGUGAAAGCCCACGGCUCAACCGUGGAGGGUCAUUGGAAACUGGGAGACUUGAGUACAGAAGAGGAGAGUGGAAUUCCACGUGUAGCGGUGAAAUGCGUAGAUAUGUGGAGGAACACCAGUGGCGAAGGCGACUCUCUGGUC
rnacentral:rRNA from 1 species